UACGGGGGGGGGCAAGCGUUGUUCGGAAUUACUGGGCGUAAAGGGCUCGUAGGCGGCCAACUAAGUCAGACGUGAAAUCCCUCGGCUUAACCGGGGAACUGCGUCUGAUACUGGAUGGCUUGAGUUUGGGAGAGGGAUGCGGAAUUCCAGGUGUAGCGGUGAAAUGCGUAGAUAUCUGGAGGAAUACCGGUGGCGAAGGCGGCAUCCUGGACCAAUACUGACGCUGAGGCGCGAAAGCUAGGGGAGCAAACGGG
rnacentral:rRNA from 1 species